ACUGCUUAUCUUCUUCUUCCUCGUGAAAACAGCCAUUCACCUCCAUUGAAGAGACCUAAAACCAGCAGCCCUACCCCUUCUGAACCCUAGAGGACAAAAUCACCUUAGAGUCAAGGCAAAAGAAGGCCGCUGCGGAUCUUCUUCUUCCUCGCAAAGAGCUUCAGCCGCACCUCCAUAACACCCACGGCUAGAAUUCUUUUUCCUUCUCCAACACCCAUGGCCAGAACGCUCCCCCCCCCCCAAAAAAAACACCAGCGACUCACCCCAUCUCCCUCAUCCCUUUUUCUCGCCACCGUUGCUAUAUGACGAAGUAGCCGGAGGUGACUGGCCUCCAUUAACACCAGCCAUCACCUCGCUACCUCACUUCUCCUCUCUCAUCUCCUUGUUUUUUUAAAUUUGGAACUUUCAUGGAGUAAAUAGUAGAUUUGCCUGAUUGGUUGGUUUUUGGCCGAGAAAUAACAUUUCCGGUAGCCAUAUACCAUUGUUGUUCAUUUUGGCCGGAGUCACGUCCUUCGCUGGUGAAUUUACUACCUUUCUGGCAUCUCUGCACUUCGCCACUAUUUUUUGGCAUAUUUCUCGACGAAAACCAACCGAGCAGCAAACUCCGUCGAAGAUCCGGCGAAGCUUCUAUGUCGAGGUUCUGUUCGAGGACGACGGCAUUGGUUUCGUAUUCCAUUCACUUCAUGGACGAUUUGAUGUACAAGUUCCCUUAUCAAUAUAUAGAAGACAUUGAGGUUCAUUUUUAGCCUUUAUCUUUUUUAAGAUUUCAGAAAGUCUAUAGUAUUUGUUUUUAUCGUAUGUUAAUGGUUUUGGUUUGAACACAAAGGAUCUUAAAUAGCUCACCUUUCUUUAUUUUGUCUAUGUCAUUUGGUUGCCUAAUACGUUGGAGGUUGGUUGGUUGCGUGACAUGACUUUUGCAACAUUUAAAUCCAGCUAGUUUGUUUGAUGCAGUGAAUAUUUUGUGUUGGUAAAUGUCCUGUUCUCGUAACUUUCUUUAGGCGCUAUUAAUAAUAAAAUAUUGUGAUUAUGGGUACAAUUUCUGUGGCAUGGUCAUAAUAAAUAAAUCCCAACUCAAGUGUGCAUUUCACACGACUUGACCUCAACUUCAAAUAAUAAUAAAGUAAAUAUGUUGUAAGUUGUGGGUGUGUUUCACGUGACGCUAUUUGCAAUAUGUACAAAAACAAUGAGUACGCGACAUCGCGACUUAUUCAAAUAAAUUCCAUAUACACUAAAAGGCGAUUAAAUUAAUUGAAAGUGGUUAGAAGUUAAAAAUGCACAAUAUGUUUAAAUAUAUAUUAAAUCAGAUAAUUAGGCCAAUUAUUGAUAGUCGAGCGACCGUGCUAAAAUCACGGAAUCCGGGAAUGCCUAACACCUUCUCCUGGGUUAACAGAAUUCCUUACACGGUCUUCUAGUUUUUGCGGACUUUAAAACAGAGUCAAACUUCCUCGAUCUGGAAUUUAAAAUAACCGGUGACUUGAGACACCAUAAAUUAUUCCAAAUGGCAACUCUGAAUUAGAUCAAUAAUCUCAUUUCGAAUAAUGUCACUUUAAUUGGAAAAACUCGAGCAUUCCUUCGAAAAAAAAGGUGUGACAGCUCAGGCAACUCUGCUGGGGAACAAACCCAAAAUCUCUGGUUCAAGGUUCAGAAUUCGAACUUAGAAUACUGUUAUACUUGGCUUUUAUUUAUUAUCUGAUAUUUAUGUGUUUGAGCCUAAUGUGCAAAAUGCCCUUUUUUUACCGCUUUGAUAUUGUUUGAACUGUAUGUUUCUCCGGCUUUGAUAUUCUCUCUGAGCCUAAUGUGCAAAAUGCCCUUUUUUAUCGCUUUUAUGUUUCUCCCAGUAUGUUACCCCCUCCCCGGCUCGAAUUGUCCGUUCGGGUAAGCCAGGUCUCGAACAAUACACCCCAGGGUUCAAACCUUGAAUGGCAUCACCUCAUGCCGGAUCCCUAGUAGGUAUGUUUGUUUGCAUUACGUGCAUUUGACUUUGGGGACUCAACACAGGGGUUGGGUCCGUCUAGGACAGGUGUACCCAGAUUUAAAAGAUCAUCCUGAUGUAUUUUACGUGCUACUUGUGCAUUUAUUUGUUUCGGCUUGCUUAUUGACCGGCUUCUAGAAUAAGGAAAGAAAAUCAAGAAAAACCAAGAGUGAGGUAGUAGAGAAAAAUUUACCCGGUUAUGAAAAACCCAAGUAUUUGAAAAUCCCAAAACUCUGCCGAAAUUUUGAAGAAAAAAAGAGAAAGAAAGAAAAUAUCAUUUCAAAAUAAGUCAUAUUUUCUUAUUGUGUCAAAACUGGCCGAACUACGCGGGUCUGAUUCUCACCGGAUGUGAGAUACAUAGGCAAACCUCAUCAGUUCCGAACCCAAUUUUCAAAAAUACAAAAAUAUUUUUCUUUAAUUUCUUCUUUAGAAGUAUUUCCUUAGAAAAUCCCAAAUAAAAAAAAUUAUAAAAACCAAAACAUAUUUUCUUUCUUUUUAGAAGUCUUUCAUUCGAAAAGAAAAUCAAAUAAAAAAUCAAAUCAAAAUCCAAAAAUAAGUUUUUCCUUCUUUAGAAGCCUUUCUCCGAAAAAAUAAAAAUUAAAAUUUUCUUUCUUCUUUAGAAGUCUUUCUUUUCAAAAAUUCUCAAAAAAACAAACAAACAAAUCAAAUUCCAAAAAUAAUUUUCUUUCUUCUUUAUAAGUCUUUCUUUCAGAAAUUUAAAAAAAAAAUCAAAAUCCAAAAAAAGAGUUAGCUUAUUUCCUUUUUUCUUGAUCUUCCCAAACUACGCAAGAUCUAAUUCAUGUUUUCAUAUGAUACGUAUGGAAACCAUAUCAGGUUUGAUCGACCAUUUAAAAAAAAGUGUCAAAAAAAAUGAUAAUGAUGAUGAUAAUAAGGACCGAGUGAGUCCAUUUUAAUGUGUUCUUUGUUUUGAAUGGUGAAGAAAGUUUGAGGUGGUCAGUUUGUGGUAAGCUACAACACAUCCAUAAUUCACAAGAUCCAAGAGAGAAAUGCCAAUGACAACUGACAUUGAAGUUGUUACGAGUGGUCAAGAGACCCAGGGUCAGAGGGUUCAACAAGCGUCUAUUGUGAUUGAGGAAAAUAGAAAACUGAAACAGCAAAUGACUGAAAUGUGUCAAGCAUGGGCCAAUGGCCAAGGACCGCCCUUUUCUAUUCAUGGUUUUCCAGAGUUCACAUCCAUCUCGACUACUACCAUUCCAGUCUCAUUGUCUGAUCAAUCCUAUCCACCUGGGUUCAGUCUUUAUCCCAACUAUAUGACUACAACUGGAACUUCUGUUGCGCAUUCGCAAAGUGUGCCAUUGACAACCAAUCAGACAACCACUACUGCUAUGCCCGUCUUCACCAUCCCACAACCGAUAAUGAUACAGAAGAAAAGUCAUGAGUCACAAUUUGCUACCCAGCAAGAACAGUACCACUCAUACCUAUUUGAUCUUUCUACAAAGAUUGAGAUGCCUGCCUAAAAGAGUGCACAGGAAGAAAUAACCCAAAAAUGAAAAGCUUAGAACAACAGCUGAAAAACAUGCAAGGGUUGGCAGGUCAGAAUAGUAUUUCCUUCAAGGAUCUAUGUAUGUUCCCCGAUGUCCACUUGCCACCUGGUUUCAAGACUCCUAAAUUUGAAAAGUAUGAUGGACAUGGAGACCCCGUAGCCCACCUGAAAAGUUAUUGCACUCAACUAAAAGGUGCGGGAGGAAAGGAAGAAUUAUCGAUGGCUUAUUUUGGGGAAAUCCUUAUGGGGGUAGCCUCUGAAUGGUUUAUGGAUCAAGACACAUCUCGCUUAUAUGUCUAGGAUGACAUGGCCCAGGCCUUUGUCAAACAGUUCUAAUACAACAUCGACAUCGCUCCAGACCACAAUUCCCUUUCAAACCUGAAGAAGAAACCAACUAAAAGUUUCAGGGAAUAUGCCAUUAAAUGGAGAGAGUAAGCGGCUAGAGUUAAGCCACCCAUGGAUGACCAUAAGCUAAUCAUUGUCUUCCUUCAGGCUCAAGAGCUAGAUUAUUUUCAAAACAUGAUGACCGCAGUUGGCAAAUCCUUCUCGGAAGCAAUCAAAAUUGGGGAAAUGGUUGAGAAUGGCCUUAAGACAGGCUGAAUUAUAAGUCAAGCAGUUCUCAAAGCCGCAACUCAGGCUGUCCAGAUUGAAUCUGCUAAUUUUAGUGACACGAAUGAGAAGGAUGAAGAAACCAUGAUGAUAGCAGGGCUGAGAAGAGGUCCUAGGAGAACAUCUCGAAGGUAUGACCAGCCUCAUCUGUUUUUCAAUGAUUCCAUUGAGCACUACUAUCCCCCUUAGAACCCACAAUACUCUGUUACUCCACUUCAGUAUGUUGUCCAGCCACCAAAACACCCUAGAAGGCGAGCACGAGCAUCACAAAAUAUCCACCAGCCUCCACAAAAUUUUCAAGUCCCCUAUAACUCACAUCCAAGCCAUGGGUAUAAAGGGGAACAAAGGUUGAAAGAUAAUUUUACACCUAUAAGAGAGUCCUAUGCAGGCUUGUUUGAGAAAUUAAAGCAUUAUGACAUGAUUUCACCCAUUCCUCUAAAUUAUGUACACCCACGUGCAAGAAGCUUUGACCCUUCUAAAAGGUGUGAAUACCAUUCCAAUGCCCUAGGGCACAAUAUUGAAAGCUGUCGGGAUUUGAAAAGAGAAAUAGAAAUGAUGAUCCAGGAAAAACUGAUUGUGAUCCAAGACAGUGACACCCAGAAUAUUGUGGAGAAUCCUUUGUCCGCACAUGAUGAUGCACACUUUGUAGGGAUGACACGUGGUGACAUGGAGUAUGAGAAUCCUCUCGGGAACUUGUCGAUUGAGGUUAAUGAGUUUGAAAUUGGAGAAGGUCCUGGUGAUUCAGAUGAGCAAAUUUGUGGCUAAAUGUUAAGCUUAGCAAUUGAAAAGUCAUUCCCCUUCCCUAGGAAGGAAUCUUGGUAGCUUGUUUUGAUGUUUUCUCUAUUAUCUAGGUUAUUUCAAGAUUUUUUAUGUUUUAUUGAGUCAAACCCUUCCAUCCCUCUAUUUUGUUUGUGUGAGUCUUGUCUGUUUGUUCUGUUGCUAUUUUUAUUAUCUGGGUUAUUUUAGGGUUAUAACUCGGAUUUUAGGUUGUUUGUCUUGUUGUCCAACUUUCCAUCCUUUACUCAAUGAAAUACAGUUUGUCCUUUUGUGUCAUUCUGUAUUUAAUUUUUUUCCUACUAGUUCUAGUGACAUGCAUGAGAAAUUUUUGGCCAGAUCCUAGAAAACUGAUUUAGUCUUGAAUUGGAUAACUGAAAAAAGACAUUUUUGAGGAUGAAUAAAGAGUCGAAACACUUUGGAAUUAAGCUCGAGUAAAAUUCAUGUGGAACUAGAAUACUCAUACACAUGGAGGUUAAUGAUCUUUACCUUCAAAUCAUUGUGAAGGUCGGGUUUGAGGAAGAAUCAAUUGAAGUUUGUUGAAAAAUUUGACAUUAAUGGAUGGAAAGUAUCUUUCAACCACGACAUACCAAGAAGAUAGACAUAUUCAUCAAUGCUGUGAUCGUGAAAGGAUACUAUGUUUGGCAUUCUCGAGGUUGGCAGACCCUUUUUCUUCUAUCCAAAUACUUUAUACCUUUCAUUACCCUUUUUUGCGCCUAUGUUUUUUCUUUGACCAUCCUCUUUUGGAAUCAAGUUUAGAGUUAAAAGUGCAAAAAAUAAAAAUAAAAAUAAAUGAAAUAAAAGUCCAUGCCCCAAGAUACAAACUGGGGCAACUCUUAGAAAGUUCAAGUGAAAAAAAAAGAAGAAGAAAAGAACAAUCAACGUCCUUGCCACCAGAAAAUAAAAGUUGGGGCAAGAUGUUUUGAAAACAAAAAAAGACAGAAAAACAUAAAGAAAGAUGAAAAAAUUAGUUCGGUCAGAUGUUUGAACUACAUUUGACUUGAUUCCUUUGAAAAAGGAUGCAUCGGCAGCCUUACACGGUUCGGUCCAACCAAAUAAAAACCAAAUAAGAAUUCAUUAAAAAAAAAUAAAAAGAUAAAAAAAAUCCAGUAUCUAAAACUGGGGCAUGAGUUUGUUUUAGUUUUUGAAAGAGUCGAUUCCAAGAGUUGUAAGUGUACAACCCAUCAUUAUGAGUCUACUUUGAGCCGUCAUGCCUUCCCUUCUUUCUAACCCUAUCGAAAAACCUUCCAAAUAAAGAUGUCUCGAUAUGCCUUCAAGAAUACGAAGAGAAACAUGCAAUGAGCAAUAGUUGUCAAGAACACUAUCAAGUUGCUCACAAAAAAAGAAUGAAAUGAAAAGAAGAAAAAAAUAAGAGUCUUACUAGUGAAAACUCUCACGGGCACCGUAAAGUGACGGUAAGUAGAGAUAAAUAAAUGGGAGAGACUUAUUGGUGAAAACCCCUCGAGGCAACACUAGUCGAAAGUGAGUCAUGAAGCUGAUGCAAAGAAUUUGCAUGAACAAGCCCGACUUCAAAGGUCGUAAGAGUGGUAAAAGGGAAGAUUUGAUCAGUUUGAUAGAUUAAUCCAUUAAGUCAAAAAUGCAUGUCAUGAUCAUUGAGGCUAGUUAUUGAAUAAGAAAAAAACUCUUCCUUUUGUCCUUCCCGACAGGGGCAUUUCUUGUUAAUACUGUUUCUUUGCAUUAUUGUGUCCCUUCACUCUGAGUCAGUCCUUGUCAAAACAAGCAAGAAAAGAUUUCAAAAUCUGCUGCCACCAUUUCAGUGCACAAAUUAAAUUUAGCCAGCACACUCAGUUGUUACAGUCUACAUGCCUUGAGGAUUCAUGCAAAGGUUCCCCCUCAAAAGACUUUUGCCAACCUACUUGGCUAAAGCAAGCAAAGAUAACCUCAAGGCUAAUAAGGGAUUCUCUGUAGUAUCGAACAAGGACUAUGAAGUGUGCACAUCGUACAAAAGGCACUUACCAGUUGUGAUUCUCUUUGACAAACAGGUUGCUCAAAAAUUAAAAAGCCGUUCAAGAUAUCAGAAAAGCUCGCCUAAGCAAAGAUCUCAGUUGGGAUAAGGCUGAUUGAGCCACAAAUAAAAUUGGUACUAGGUGUGAACCAAUCAGGGCUGAUACAGAGCAAAAGUCUCUUGAAAGCAACAACAAAGUCUCCCAGCAGUGCAGCCAACUACCAAUACAGGUGGUCUUCCAGAAGCGAAUAGGUACAAUGCCAAGCUGCCAAGGACAUCAAGGCCACAAACCGACCACUUUUAAAACUGACAAAAUUUUCUUUAUCUCAAACAGAACAAAGCAGUGCAAGGAAAGUGGUUCAAAAAAAAGAAGAAAAAAGAGAAACAAAGAAAAAAAGAGAAAAGAAGAGAAGAGAAGAGCCGACAAAUGGAAGUUUCUCAAAUCUUUGCCUUUAUUUGUCUUGCUAGUAUGCAUAAAAUUUUGUCAUUGCUCUUCACAUUUUUUCCUCCUAGGGUAAUACGUCCUAGUGUGAUGGAUUUUCCUUCCAAUAAAUAUCUUAGUCUGAUGAAUCUUUCUCCUAAGAUAAAAGACCCUAGUCUGAUGAACUUUCUCCUAGGAUAAAAAUCUUAGUUUGAUAAAUCUUUAUCCUAAGAUAAGAAAACCUAGUCUGAUAAACUUUCUCCUAGGACAAAAAUCUUAGUCUGAUGAAUCUUUCUCCUAAGACAAAAAUUCUUAGUCUGAUAAAUCUUUCUCCUAAGAUAAAAAGCCCUAGUCUGAUGAACUUUCUUCUAGGAUAAAAAUCUUAGUCUGAUAAAUCUUUUUUCCUAAGAUAAGAGACCUAGUCUGAUGAAUUUCUCCUAGGAUAGAAGUCUUAGUCUGAUGAAUCUUUCUCCUAAGAUAAUAAAUUAGAAAGCCUAGUCUGAUGAAUUUUCUCCUAGGAUAGAAGUCUUAGUCUGAUGAAUCUUUCUCCUAAGAUAAAAAGCCCUAAUCUGAUGAACUUUCUCCUAGGAUAAAAAUCUUAGUCUGAUGAAUCUCUCCUAAGAUAAGAAAACCUAGUCUGAUGAAUUUUCUCCUAGAAUAGAAGUCUUAGUCUGAUGAAUCUUUUUCGUAAGAUAAUAAAUUAGAAAACCUAGUCUGAUGAAUUUUCUCCUAGGAUUGAAGUCUUGGUCUGAUGAAUUUUUCUCCUAAGAUAAUGAUGAUGAUGAUGAUAAUAAUAAUAAUAAUGAUAAUAAUAAUAAAAAGAAGAAGUCUAGAUUUUUUUUAAAAAAGGUAUCAGUUUUAGUUUCCUUAAGUCAUUAAUCUUUAGUAGUCAGAAAUGCCCCUCUACUAUCAAAUAUUAUUUAAAGUUACCCUUCGUUAUACUAAUCGAUCAAAAUUGUCCUUACCGUCUUACUAUUAAACAUAUUUACCACUCAUUUGACGGAAGGGACACAUGGCAGCCUUCUAGAUAUUUCUAAUACCCAACCAACUGCCCAUACUGGAUACCCAGUAUCCAUGAUUCUACACCUGAUCCAUCCUCAGACUUAAUCACUUAAAACCUCGUCUCUUUCUCUUAUUUUAUCUCCUAAACAAGAGAAGCUCAUUCCUCCAUGACUCUCCACUCUAUGACUAGGUGCUUUCAAAUUUCUUACAAAUUGAAUCGUUUUGUUUCGGAGUAUAGGCUAAGAAAUUGCUUUAAGCAUUCCUUAUUUAUUGCCUUGAUUUCCAAAUCAGAAAUUACAAAAAAGAAGAAGAAGGAAAUUUUGUGUUGUUGGAUGCUUGAAAAUCCAAAAAUUAGUUUGAUUGUUUGGAGCUGCUCAUUGAGUCAGAAUUUAGUAACUAAUUUGAAGAACUAGGUAAAAAAAGUCGAACUCCAACUGAUGGGUUUUUAAGUUUUCAAAGUUGGAACAAUUUUUUUUUUUGGUAAUUAAUUGACUUUAUUUACCAAGUAAAGUAUGUACAAGAAUCAAACGAACAAACACCCCACUGGACAUGCAGCCCCAGUUUGGGUCUUUCUACACUUCUACUUUCCUACUUUCCUAUCUACUAUCAUUGUUCCAUUGUAUCCGGGUACCAGUUUGCUUUGGUCAUAGUCCUUUCUAACCUAGGAAACAUGGUGGCUCUUAAGUGGAUUUCCUGAAUGAUCUUCCUGACUAUGCUUGCUGCUGUUCUCUUUUCCUGUUUGAAAAUGACAUUGUUUCUUUCCUGCCAUAUAUAGUAAACUGCAGCAGCUAGAGUCAUUCUGCAUAGAGCUGCUCCUUCACUUCUUCCUUUUGCUACUCUUUGUAUCCAUGUCAGCUCUUCUUGCCAUUUCAACUUCUUCCUCUGUAUUCCUUGCCAAUGUAGCAGUUGUUGCCAUAUUGUUCCUGUCAUUUCACAUUCAAUGAAUAGAUGCUGGACUGUUUCAAUCCCUUGUUGGCAUAGUGCACAUGUGGUCUCUAUAUUUACUCCCCAUCUUGCUAAUCUUUCCUUUGUUACUAGUCUUUCCAGAAUUGCAAGUCUCAAUUUGAAUAUCUAUUUUGGCUUCCCAUAGUUAUUGUAUAUUACUUUCCUCCAACCUACCUUCUGAAACCCCCAUGCAUGGCUUUAUACAUUUGUUUGAUUGAGAAGCUAUCUAUCCUCUGCACCUCUUGUUCAGUGUAGCCAACAUUUUCAAAAUACUUCUUUGCUUUGAAGAUCUGUUGAAUGACCCAAGAUGCAUUCUUUGGUGUUGUGCUCCAUAUUGUAUUCCCUUUUAUGUAGUAAGCAUUUACCCAUUGUAUCCAUAACUUUUUCUUUUGCUUGCAUAUGUUCCAUAAUAAUCUGCAAAUUGCAGCUUUUUCCAUAGUUCCACAUUAGUGAAGUUCAAACCACCUGCAACUCUUGGACAGCACAGUUUCUCCCAAGCUAUCAAUGCCUUCCUAGUAGGCUAUGUGUUCCCUGACCAUAGAAACCUUCUACAUAUUGUUUCAAUGAACUGAAUAAUCUUCUUUGACAAUAUAAAGAUCUGAGCCCAAAAAUUUUGAAUUGCAGUCAAGACACUCUUUAUAAGCAUAACUCUCCCUGCAUAUGACAGGAAUUUUGUUGUCCAGCAUUGUAUUUUGUUCAGCAUCCUGUCAAUCAAAGGUUCACAUUGGAUAAUUGAUAGCUUCUUUGUGCUUAAAGGUACCCCUAAGUAUCUGAAAGGUAACUCUCCCUUGUUGUAUCCCUGUAUAUCCAUAAUCUUCCCUUGGUUCACAAGAUCGACUCGUCCAAAGUAUAUGCAGCUCUUGUUUUGGUUUGCAGUUAGUACUGAUGCCUCGGAAAAGGUUUUGAAUUGUUGAUGCAUUUCCUUGACUGAUUGUAUAUCUCCCCUGCAAAAAAGUAACAAAUCAUCAGCAAAACCUAAGUGUAAUAGAUUGACUUUAGCACACUUAGGGUGGUACUUGAAUUCUUUGUUCCCCUUUAAGUUUUUCAAUAGUCUGCUCAAGUAUUCCAUUGCUAUCACAAACAGUACAGGAGAUAAUGGGUCACCCUGCCUAAGCCAUUUCCUUGCUUCAAAAGGUUUUGCUGGUUGCCCAUUGAUGAUUAUUGUAUAGUGCACAGUACUGAUGCAUUUCAUUAUCCACCUUACAAACAAUUCAGGGAAUCCCAGUAAUUUCAUCAUUUGCUCUAUAUAUAUCCACUCCACAGAAUCAUAAGCUUUCUGCAUAUCAAUUUUCAGCAUACACCUUGGUGAUAUGUUUUUCCUUCCAUAGACUUUAACCAGCUCAUGGCUCAUGAUGAUGUUAUCAACUAUCAUUCUCCCAGGGACAAAAGCAGUUUGGCAUUUUUCUAUUAAUUCUGGCAUGACUUCCUGUAAUCUUGUUGUUAGGAUCUUGGAAAUUAUCUUAUAUAGCAUUGUACAGCAGGAAAUAGGCCUAAACUCCUUGAUAUUUGUUGGGUUCUUCACUUUAGGGAUCAAAGUAAUAGUAGUGCAGUUUAUAGCUUUGCACAAAUCUAUACUUUCAAAGAGUUCCAGUACUGCUGAUGUGAUAUCCUCUCCUGUUAUGCUCCAUGUCCUCUUGAAAAAAUAGGCAUUAUAUCCAUCACACCCUGGUGCCUUGCUAUCAUUUAUACCCUUCAAAGCUAUCAGUACUUCUUCCUUUGUGACUGGCUUUAUUAUCUGCAAUUGUUGUUCCCUGCUCAGCAUAUUCCCACUCCUUAUUAUAUCUGGAUUCACUACUGGUAAAGUAGAUGCUGCUGUACCUAGUAAUACUUUAUAAAACUGUAGGAUUUCCUCUUCAACCUCCUUUGUGUUAUGCAGUAUGUGCCCUUCAUUAUUUGUAAGUCUUCCAAUAUGAUUCCUUGCCUGUCUGUUUUUCACACAAGCAUGAAAAUAUGCUGUGUUGGAGUCCCCCUCUUUUAGCCACUUGACUCUAGCCUUUUGUUUCAGUAUGCUUUCCUCUACUUCCAUCCAUUUAGUCAGCUCCAUUUUAGUCUUCUUUUCUACAUCAAUGACUGCACUAUCAUUCUUUGGAGAUUGCAUACUUUGUUGCAUCUGUGUCAGUUUAUUUUUUGUUUCUUUUAUUUUAUCCCCCACACUCUUGUAUUCUUGAUUGUUUAACUUCUUCAGUUCACCUUUCAUUGCUUCAAGCUUGUACCAAACCUUUUGCAUCUUGUUGCCCAUAUGUUCCCUCCUCCAGCAGUGCUUCACUAUUUCCUCAAACUUCUGGUGGUUAGCUAGGCAGUUAAAAAACUUGAAAGGUCUCUUUACCUGUACAAUAUCUUCAGCCAUAGUUAUCAUCAAUUGGCAGUGAUCAGAAAAUUCAAGUUGUUUGAUGAUCCCCUCCAUUUGAGGUCGCUUUUGUAUCCAUUAUGCAUUGACUAAGAUUCUAUCAAUUCUACCGUGCACUGUGUUAUUUGUCCAUGUGUAGUAUCUACCUAUUGUUCUCAUUUCAGACAAUCCAGCCUCCUCUACAAAGUUUUUAAAGUCUCUCACUUCCACAUCUUGUACUGGGUUACCUUGUACUCUAUCUUCAAUGGACAUUAUUCUAUUGAAAUCCCCCAUUAGAACACUUGGCCACUUUACUCCAUUCAUUAUCCCCUUGAGCUCAUUCCACAUACUCUUCCUAUCUUGGAUGUUAUGUUUACCAUAUACUGCAACAAACAAAAAGUUACUGUUACAUUGCCUUAUAGUUAUCUGCCCUGCUAUGUAUUGAUCAUGCACUUGUUUGACUUCAAACUCCACUCUUGCCUGAUCCCAGACAAUCCAUAUUCUCCCACCUGGUGCUACUUCAUAAUUUGUUAUCCACUUCCAGUCUCCAAAUAUUUUCCUCAUUAUUGUAUCAACCCUACUUUCUUUAACUCUAUUUUCCAGAAUUGCUAUCAUUGCUACAUUAUUCUCCUUAUAGAAAAUUUUUAGUAGUUUUUGCUUAUACACCUUAUCCAUGCCCCUUACAUUCUAUGUUAUAAUGUUUGUCAUGCUAUAUUUGUUGUUUUGGAAUUAUCUUUACUACCUUGUCUGCUCCUCCUGCUUCUCACCUCUUGUUCUUCAGAGAAUAACAUUAUUUUCUGGGCAGUGUCAACAAGUAUUUUAAAUGCAUUGCCUAUGUUGACUUCCUCUCCCCUUUUGGCUCCCAUUUGUUUUUUUGAUGCAGACCUUCCACUAGCAAUCUGCCAUUAAUUACCAUCAUCUUGUUGUUUUGGUGCUAAUUCUUCUUCUAUUUCAAGCUGCUCUUUGAACCUUCCUUGUCCAUCUAUCCUAUCCACCUUUGGAUCAAGCUUCCUUACAAUUUUCCAUUACUGCUUGGGCUUCUGAUUAUUUAUCCUCUGUUGUCCCUCUUCAUUAUGUUGUUUCUGUUGCUCCUUACAUGAGUGGCCAAGUUGACAACAUUCUUGGCAGUAUUGUGGCUUCCAAUCAUAUUGCACAAUCUGAUCAAUCUUCUUCCUAGUAGGGUCACAUAGUUUUAUUGAUCCUGGUAAAGGCCUAGUAAUAUCCAUCUCAAUUAGGACUCUUGCAUAUACAACUCUAUCAGUCAUAGUUGUACAUGCAUCAACAUAUAGAGGUUUACCUAACCCACUCCCAAUCUUGCUUAGAGCCUUAUUACUCCAGUAACUAAGUGGCAGUUUAGGAAAUUUCACCCAUAGUGGGAUAGUUCUGAGGAUUUUAUCCUCAAAAUCAAACCCCUCCUUCCAUUGCCUAAUGAUAAUUGGUCUAUUAUUCAUUGUGUAUGGUCCAUUCAUCAUAACAUCAUCCCUUUCUUCAAUACUAUGCAUCAAUACAAUGAAAUAGCCAUCGCUAUGGAACAAUACCUUCGGCUUCUUAAUUUUCCCCCAUUGUUGAGCUAUACAUCGCUCAACUGCUCCAAUUGUUGGGGUGUUUCCCACAAUAUAUAAAAUUAAUGCUCUACUCUAUUUCUGUUGCUCCUCCUCUAUGUCAUCUUCCAACAAUUGUACCACUACCUCACCAUCUUGUACCACUGGUGGAAUAUAUGAGAGAUUCAUUCCUUUAGCAGCUAGUUUGUUCUCAAUAAAUAAUCCAGCCCACGAUCUUCCCCCAGCUCCCUGCGUUUGCUUCUCCUGCAUACCCUUCUCAUUUCCUUGUGCUUUGUUACUCUAUUCCAUAGUUACCUUUGAAUUUACUGUUCCAUUGCUUGGAUUUUUGCUCGAACUUGCCUCUUCAGCUCUGAUCUUCCCUGCAUGUGUGUUUUUUGCGCCAGAGUUCAUCAUUGGUGUCACUCUGGUCACUGUCUUCUCUGGUGUUUCCAAUUUCAGCUGAGCGGUGCUCAGAUCUGGCCAGUUCAUUUCACUAUCACUUUCUAUAUCUGGGUCAUCUUCUUCGUUCACUUUCUCUUUAGCUUUUCCUGAUUGCUUUCCUUGUUCCUUAACGUUGAUACUCGUGAAUUUGCUAGUGUUUUUCCUUGGUCGCCCACUUCCUCCCAUUUUCCGACGAGGCACAGGUUAAAGCACUUAACGUACGCCGAGAGAGAAAGGUGACUUUUCUCAAUGUUCUCUCAACAAAAAUUAUUAAAGUGUUGAAUUAUUCUACUGAAAUAAUUAUCUGGGUCUGUUUUGUUGAGCUAAUAUCUAAGAUUAACUAUUGAUUAUUAGCUUGGUUAAAGAAGAUUUGCAAUUAAAAGAGCUGUUGGGUUCCUUGUUGAAUCGGAUUUGAGGUUCAAAAAAAUAUCUUCACUUUGCAAGUCGAAAAAUCCAAGCAACUAAGCGUGAAAAAUUCUGUUUUUGUGAUUGAAAAUUCAAAAUUGAAGGAUUUGAUAGUAGUUUGCAGUUGAGCAUUAAUCAAAUUCUAAUUUAUGAUUGUUGUUGAGAAUUGCGGUUGCAAAUAUCACUAUGAAUUUGGAGUUUUUUGAACUUGAAUUGUCUAUAUUGAAAUUCUUUAAACAUUGUUGCUUGAGAAUUGGAUCAUGGUUUUAUAUAUGCUUAAAUCGAGGAGACUAGCUACUACUCGUUGUAAGAGUUUAGUGCUAAAUUUAAGGGCCACCAUUUUUGAACACAUCCAUAUUUUGGAUGAAGGAGUUUUUGUUAUGAAGGAGAUGAGAUAGGCAAGGAUGGGUCGGGUUUAGGGUUAUGGAUAUCGGGUAUCCAAUAUGGGCAAUUGAUUGCGUAUUAAAAAUGUUUAGAAGGCUGCCACCUUCCGUCAAAUGAGGGGCAAAUAUAUUCAAUAGUAAGAUGGUAGGGGCAAUUUUGAUCGAUUAGUAUAACAGAGGGUAACUUUAAACAAUAUUUGAUAGUAGAGGGAUAUAUCUGACCCUUUUUCGUAGUUUUUUUAAGUGUUAAUCUUUAGUUUUUCUUAAGUUCAGGGGUCCCGCCUGGAAAAUAUGGUCAGUUUUUAGUUUUCUUAAGUCAUUAAUCUUUAGUUUUCCUUAAGUUCAGGGGUCCCGCCUAGAAAAUAAGGUCAUUUUUAGUUUCUUUAAGUGUUAAUCUUUAGUUUUUCUUAAGUUCAGGAGUCCCGCCUGGAGAAUAGGGUCAGUUGUUAGUUUCCUUAAUUUGUUAGUCUUUAGUUUUCUUAAGUUUCCCGGGGUCCCGCUUGGAAAAUAGGGCCAGCUUUAGUUUUCGUAAGUCGUUAAUCUUUAGAUUUCCUUGAAUCCAGGGGUCUCGCCUGGAAAAUAGGGCCAGUUUUUAAUUUUCUUAAGUUAAUAGUCUUUAAUUCCCUUAAGUUUAGGGGUCCCGCCUGGAGAAUAGGGUCAAUUGUUAGUUUCCUUAAGUUUUUAGUCUUUAGUUUUUCUUAAAGUUCAGGGGACCCCGCCUGGAGAAUAGGAUCAAUUUUUAGUUUAGUCAAGCUUAGUUUAUAGUUUUCCUUAAGCUCAAUCUCACAGGAGACGCACAUCCUAGUCGAAUCUUUAGUUUUUAGUUUUACUCUCAUCAUAUCAUCUUUCACCAAUAACAUAGGUGAUUUACAACUUUGCUAAUAACUCACGAGAUUUUCCUAGGGAAAACUGGGGUAAAAAAAUUUUGUUCGUUUGUUCUGCUUUGGUGUCUGAGCAAGUUUUACCUCAAGGCACAAGGUUCGAGAUGACCAAAAGAAGAAGUCUCAAUCCAGAAUAAAAGAAAAGAAAAAAAAGAAGUGAAUCCAAAAUGCAAAAGCAGAUGAAAGAUGUGAACUGCUCAAGACAUGGUUGAAGUCAAGAGGAUUGCAUUCCCCAUUUUUAUCAAAAGAAGCCGUAGAAGAAUUAACUAGCACCUACAACUAACAAGCAUCAAGGUUCAAAUCAAAAGUCUGCAUAAAGAACUAUUCAAGAUUCAAGAUCAAGCUUCAGAAGACUUAUAGAUAGGAAUCUUGUAACUCAUAGCUGAUAGAUUUAUUCAAUUCAUUUAGAUUUUAAUUUUGAUGUAAUAAUAGGACCACAGACCAGAGUCUUGACGGAACCUUACUCGACUCUCCAACUCAUCAUUCCAUUAUUCUCCUUAAACUACACGCGACCUGAUUCCCUUAUAACCCGGGAUAUGUAGGCUGUCCAAAAUCAGGACUCGACUGCACUCUCUUCUCUUUUCUUUGUUUCUUCCUUUUUGAAUAAUGGUAUGGUCAAAAAUUAGUCAUACGACACACCUCGUCUUUGCCUGAAAACUCUUCAUUUUUUCAAGCAAAGAUGGGCAUGCUGUGAGUACCUAACUUUUUACCAUAUUUAGAUUUUUAUCACUUUCAGUAUUUUAAUAGUUUUUAAGUUUAAUCUUGAUAUUUUAUCUUGUAUUUCACCUUUUUAUAGUUUUUAUUUGAUAAAAAGUGAAAAUCACAAAAAAAGAAAGAAGAUUUAAUUUGGACUAGUUCUCCUAAAGUCUUGCUUUGUUCAAAUGUCCAAAUCAUGACCCAAAUUGGGCAAAAACCUGAACCCAAUAGCCAAAAGCCCAUUUUUUUUCUAGCCCAAUCCCCUAACCCUAAGCCCCUUGCCUACUAUAAUGACCUGACCGAUCGUUUUGCUUUCGAGAACCCCGUUCCCAUGAAUAAGACUUCAUAUACGUGCCUACUGUUUUAUGACUUGUUGGAUGGUUAGUUCGGGAUUUGGAAGGUUUCGAGUUGAAAUCGGAACACUUGGUUCCUAAAGGUUGGCUAAAAAGACCAAAUUUGACUUCGGUCAAUAUUUUGAGUAAACAACUUCGGAAUCAGGAUUUGUCGGUUCCAAUAUGUUUGUAUAAUAAAUUUGGACUUAUGCGUAUGUUCGAAUCGGGUUUUGGAUGACUCGGGAGCGUUUUGGCGCUUAAUAGUGAAAGUUGGUUCUUUGAAGAUUUUGGAAGUUCUUUAUAUUUGGUUUGGAGCGGGUUUUGGUGAUAUCGAGUCCAAAUGGAAUUCUGAGAUCGAGAAUAGUUCUGUAAUGUUAUUUAAGAUUUGAACACAAAAUUUUGGUGUCAUUCCGAGUAGUUUAAGUACGUUUCGGUGCAUUGGAAGUAAAUUAAAGAACUUGAAGUUCAUAAGUUUGAUUCAAUUUGUUUUGGGGUAUGUUUCUUAGUUUUAAUGUUAUUUCGGGCAUUCCAAGAGUUCGAGCGAGUCCGUUUUAUGAUUCCAAACUUGUUGGUAUGUUCGGGCAGGGCCCCGGAGGCCACAAGUGUCAAUUGGAUGAGGCUCAGACCAAGUUGGAAACUUGGAGAAACAGGUGAAGCUUCAACUGCUGUCAUAAUCGCACCUGCGCUUGGCCAGCCGCAGGUGCAAGCUCGCAGAAGUGACCAAGGAAGAGCAGCCCAGGACCUGCAGGUGCACCCCAACCUCCGCAGAAGUGGGAGCCCGUCCGCAGAAGCGGAGCCAGCCUGCCUAGGGACUUUCGCAGAAGCCGACUUUUGUCCGCAGAAGCGAUGGAGUAGGUGUGGCCCCAAGACCGCAGGUGCGGAAUCGCUGAGGUAGUGAGCUUGUUUUAAAUACGGGACUUAGGCAUUUUUCUCCCAUUUUUCACUCAUUUGGGCGAUUUUAGAGCUUCAAAAAGGGAGAUUUCAACCUAGCUAUCGAAGGUAAGUAAUGCCUACCUAAUGUGAGUUUAAUACAUAUGGUAUAUUAAUAUGUAAAUUUGUGGAGUUCACGGGUUAGAUGGAAAACAUAGGUUUUUGAUAAAAAUGCGAUUUAACCACGAAAUUUGUUAUGGAAUUUGGUAAAAAUCAUAUAUUUAAGAUCAUGAGGUUGUGGGUGACAACUUUCUUCGAGAAUUUCCGGAAUUCGGGCACGUGGGCCUGGGAAUAAAUUUUAGGAACCUUACAUUUAGGGUUGGGUAAUCACUUAAAUAGUUAGGAUAUGAACUUUUGAACAUAUAUUGAUUAGUUUAUACACUAUUUGAAUAGCUUUGGAUUGUUCGGCACCGAUUUGAGGGUUUGAGCAUAAUCUUUGACCGAAAAGUAGACUUUGAAACGAGGUAAGUCUCUUUUCUAACCUUGUAUGAGGGAAUUAACCCCAUAGGUAAAUUAUAACUAACAUGUGCUCCUAUGUGUGGGGCAUACGUACGCACGAGGUGACGAGAGUCUAUAUGUACCUACUAAUUAUGCUAUUAUCCAAGUAAUCUAGGAUCCAUACCAUGCUAUACUUGAAAUGAUUGCACCCCUACUUGUUGAUUUAAUUGAUUAAGUCAUAUUUGAAGUUUAUAAAAGAAUUAUAAAAGGUAAAAUUUCGCUUACUUGAAGUUGUGAAUGGAACACUUGACUAUAAAUGAGAAUUUAUAUUUUAUUUGAAAUAUUAUCUAUUUGUGGAGCGGGCCAAACGUCUCGAUAGCAGAUAGAUACAUCUGUGGUUCGUAUCGUUCGACCCUCAACAGUGUACAAUUAAAUAUUAUGUUGGAUUGGGCCGUAUGGCCUCGACAUAAAUUGUGCAUGAUAAAUCUUUGGAACUAUUCAUAAUUGAUAUUGCUUAAAUGCCUUGAGAUACAAACUGUUAAAUGAUGAAACUAAACUUGGGAGGUAAUAUUUGCGAAAGAAGAAUUUACUAUUUUCCUAUUAUUGAGCUUUCGUUAUUAUUCAUGAAAUCCAUGCUUAGUAUAAAAUUUUGAUAUAUCAUUGUUAGCCCAUAGAAAGUGUAAUAGUCGACCCCUCGUUACUACUUCUUCGAGGUUAGACUAGAUACUUACUGGGUACAUGUUGUUUAUCUACUCAUACAAUACUUCUACACUUAAUUGUGCAGGAUCUGAGGCAGGUACAUCUGGUUACCAGUCCGACGUGCAUAUUUGAUCCCCGCUACGAGACUAUAUAGUGAGCUGCCUUUUCGAGUCGUUCUGAGUAGCUGGAGUCUUUCUUUUGAUUAUGUGUUCUGUCUAUUCCAUUUCAGGCAGUAGAUUAGAAAUCUUUUGUAUAUUCUACUAGUAGCCCAUAUACUUAUGACACUGGGUCUUAGCACACACUAGUAGACUUAUGAUUUUGGGUUGCAUUUCUACGGUUAUGAUUUCAUUUAGCUGCUUUCGUUUUGAUCACUUUAAAAUCUGUUAUUUGUUAAAUUCUUUAAUUAAAGAAAGUUAGUAGUUUGAAAAACUUAAAAAAGAAAGAAAGAUGGACAUCACUAGAUUGUUCACUAUUGGCUUGCCUAACAACGGUGUUGGGAGCCAUCACAGCCUAAACUAGAAUUUUGUCGUGACAACAUAGUAUCAGAGCACUAGGUUCAUAUAGGUCUCACAAGUUAUGGGCAGACCUAGUAGAGUCUUGUUGAUCGGUGUAGAGACGUCUGUACUUAUCUUUGAGAGGCUAUAGGGUGUUAGGAAACUAUUCUUUAUUUAUCUCAUAUCAUGUAGUUGAUGGUAUACUAAGUUUCUUUCUCUUAUUCUCUCACAGAUGGUGAGGGCGCACACGAAAGACGUUCCAGACCCGGGAGGAGCUGCUCCCCCUAUUGCUAGAGGCCGAGGCAAAGGCCCAGGCAGGGCACCAGCCCGAGGUAGGGGAUGAGGACGUCCUAGAGUUUCCCCAGUUUCACCCCCAGCAGAUCCAGUGGAGGAUCCCAUUAUUGAGGAGCAUGGAGAGGUGCCUCAGUAGAGCCAGCCCUGGUGGAUUUCAUGUCGACCCCAGGCUUUCCGUAGGUCAUGGGCCGUAUGUUGCGGUUCAUGGACACUAUGACCUAGGCUGGUUUAUUUCCAGCAGACCCAACCAUAUCUCAGGCGGGAGGGGGAGCACAUACCCCUACUUCCUAGGCUCCGGGGUAUGCAUUUGUCAUAUAUCAGACCCUGGGUGCACUACCCAUGGGCGGAGCCUAGCCAGUUGCAACAGUUGUACUCGAGCCCAGACCAGUUGCGGCCGGCAAGCCACAAAAGCUAUUAGAUAAAUGGACUAGGCUACACCCUCCUGUCUUCGGAGGUGAGCGGCAUGAGGAUCCCAAGGACUUCAUUGAUCGGUGCAGGGACAGACUGCACAACAUAAGGAUAUUGGAUUCCCAUGGGGUGGAUUUCACUACUUUCUAAUUGGAGGGCAGGACCCGUAGGUGGUGGCCGUCUUAUCUUCUUAGCAGACCAGUAGGUUCUCCAUCCAUGACUUGGGAAUAGUUCACACACCUAUUCUUGGAUAGGUAUAUUCCACCCUCUCAGAGGAAAGAGUUGCGGUUUCAAUUUGAGCAGCUCCAACAGGGUCAGAUGUCUGUGACCGAUUAUGAGGCGAGAUUCUUUGAGUUGUCUCGCCAUGCACUUAUGAUACUUCUUACUGACGCAUAGAGAGUGCGGAGGUUUGUUAUAAGGUGCACUCAGGUAUUCAGUUUACUAUGGCACUAGAGGUUGAGAUGAGGACUUCCUACCAUCUAGUAGUGGAGAUAGCUUGGAGGAUUAAGGGUUAUCGUUUGAGAGGUAGAGUGCAGAUGUAGAGGGACAAGAUGAUCUAUUAUUUUGGGGAGUUUAAAGGUGCUCCAUUUGGGGGCCGAGGUCAGUUUGUGAGGGUCAGCCUAGCAUGCCCACAUAUCCAGCACCACCACCUCUUCGGGGUGCUCCGGUGCGACACUAUUUUAGCGCCAUGCCAGAGAGUUUUUAUCGCCCACCAGCCAUUCAGGGUUCUUCCAGUGGGUACUCAAGACACCAGGGUUCCUCUAGCUCCUAUUUCAGUGCCAUGCUAGAGAGUUCAUGCCGCCCACCAACUAUUCAGGGUUCUUCCAGUGGGUCUUCAGGCCAUCAGGGUCAGACUUCAAGGCAGCAAAUCACUGCACUGAGAGGUUGUUUUGAGUGUAGAGAUCUUAGUUAUGUACGGAGAUUCUACCCCAGACUGUGGGGCAAGGUAGUGCAACAACACCGACAACCCAUGAUUACAAUACCAAUUGUCCGACCGCCCAAAGGUGGAGGGCAAGCGGGUAGGGGUCAUCCUAGAGGUGGGGCCAGUAAGGGAGAGUUCAUCCAUCUACUGUUCAGUUAGGCGGAGGCCAGCCAGUCGGUGCUCCAGCCAGGUUCUAUGCCUUCCCAGCCAGACCAGAUGUAGUGUCCUCAGAUGUCGUGAUCACAGGUAUUAUUUCUAUUUGUGAUAGGGAUGCUUCAGUUUUAUUUGAUCCAGGGUCUACCUUUUCAUACGUGUUAUCUAUGUUUUCUCAUUUCCUGGAUAUUCCUCGUGAGUCCUUGGGUACUCCAGUUUAUAUGUCCACUCAUGUGGGUGAUUCUGUUGUUGUGUGUCGGAUCUACCAGUCAUGUGUGGUCACAUUCUGUGGUUACGAGACUAGAGCGGACCUUCUGUUGCUUGAUAUGACCAACUUUGAGGUCAUCCUAAGCAUGGACUGGUUAUUCCCAUAUCAUGCCAAGACUGUUACCUUAGCAACGCCAGAGUUGCCUAGAUUGGAAUGGAAGGGUUCGUCUGUUAGUACAUCUAGUCGGGUUAUCUCUUUUAUGAAAGCUCGACAUAUGGUUGAGAAGGGUUGUUUGGCCUAUCUAGCUUAUGUUUGAGAUACUACCGCAGAGUCUCCGGUGAUUCAUUCAGUGCUAGUAGUUCGGGAGUUCACCGAUAUGUUUUCUUCUAGCCUUCCAGGCAUGCCACCAGAUCGUGAUAUCGAUUUUUGUAUUGACUUGGCUCCAGGUACCCAACCUAUAUCCAUCCCACCGUACCGUAUGGCUUCGAAAGAGUUGAAGGAGUUGAAGGAGCAGCUUGAGGAGUUGCUAGCCAAGGGGUUUGUCAGACCAAGUGUAUCACCUUGGGGUGCACCAGUGUAUUUGUGAAGAAAAAAGAUAGGACUAUGCCGAUGUGCAUUGAUUAUCGCCAGUUGAACAAGGUCACCAUCAAGAACAAGUACCUGUUGCCACGUAUUGAUGAUUUGUUUGACCAGUUGCAGGGUGCUAGGGUGUUCUCUAAGAUUGACUUGAGAUCAAGAUACCACCAGUUAAAGAUUCUGGACUUGGAUGUUCCGAAGACUACUUUCCGUAUUAGAUAUGGCCAUUAUGAGUUUCUAGUGAUGUCUUUCGGCUUGACUAAUGCCCUAGCGGCGUUUAUGGAUUUGAUAAACAGGGUGUUCAGGCCUUAUGUUGAUUCGUUUGUCAUUGUCCUCAUUGAUGACAUUUUGAUCUACUCAUAUACUAUGGAGGAGCACGAGCGGCAUUUGAGAGUGGUGUUUUAGACCUUGCAGGAGCAGAAGCUAUAUGCUAAGUUCUCCAAGUGUGAGUUUUGGUUAGAUUUGAUGGCAUUAUUGGGGCAUAUUGUAUCAAGCGAGGAUAUUAAGAUGGAUCCUAAGAAGAUUGAGGUAGUUUAGAGUUGGCCUCGUCCCACUUGGGCGACUAAGAUCAGGAGUUUCUUGGGAUUAGCAGGUUAUUAUUGUCGGUUUGUGGAGAGCUUUUAAUCUAUUGUAGCACCUUUGACUAGAUUUACCAAGAAGGGUGCUUCGUUCCGUUGGUUCAUGAUUUUGAGGCAAGCUUUCAGAUGCUCAAGACGGCUUUGACUAUAGCACUGGUUAUAGUGUUACAUUCCGGUUCGAGGAUGUAUACGGUUUAUUGUGACGCUUCACGCAUUGGUUUAGGUUCUGUACCAAUGCAGAAGGGGCGAGUUAUUGCAUAUGCUUUAUGUCAGCUGAAGAUUCAUGAGAAGAAUUACCAUGUUCAUGAUCUAGAGUUAGACAUGAUUGUUCAUGCUCUUAAGAUCUGGAGGCAUUAUCUUUAUGGGGUGUCCUGUGAGGUUUACACUGAUCAUCGCAGCUUGCAGCAUUUGUUCAAGAAAAGGGAUCUCAAUUUGAGGUAGCGUAGAUGGCUUGAGUUACUAAAGGAUUAUGCAUCACCAUUCUUUAUCAUUCGGGAAAGGCGAAUGUAGUCGCGGAUGCCUUGAGCAGAAAGUCAGAGAGUUUGGGUAGAUGGGCAUACAUUUCAGUAGGGGAGAGGCCACUAGCUUUGGGCAUUCAGCCAUUGGUUAACAGACUUGUGAGGUUGGACAUUUCAGAGCCCAGCCGAGUUCUUGCAUGCGUUGUUGCUCAGUCUUCACUAUUGGAGCAGAUCAAGGCUCGACAGUUUGAUGAUCCGCAUUUUAUGGUCCUGAGAGAGACGGUAAUACAGGGUGGUGCCAAGGAGGUUUCUAUCGGCGUGGAUGGUGUUCUGAGACUCUAAGGUCGCCUAUGUGUUCCUAAUGUCCAUGGCUUGAGAGGGAGGAUUCUAGAGGAGGCACACAGUUCUCGGUAUUCCAUUCAUCCAGGUGCUACGAAGAUGUAUCGUGACCUGAGGCAGCAUUAUUAGUGGCGGAGGAUGAAGAAAGACAUAAUUGAGUAUGUAUCUAGGUGCCUAAAUUGCCAGCAGGUUAAGUAUGAGCAUGAGAGGCCAGGUGGCCUAUUCCAGCAGAUGACUAUAUCGGAGUGGAAGUGGGAGUGCAUUAUUAUGGACUUCGUAGGUGAGUUGCCGUGGACCUUACGAAAGUUUGAUUCAGUUUUGGUCAUUGUCGACAGGUUGACCAAGUCGUUACAUUUCAUUCCAAUUGUAACUACGUAUACUUUAGAUAGGUUGGCUUAGAUUUAUAUUCAGGAGAUAGUUCGGUUGUAUGGUGUGCCUGUUUUCAUCAUAUCAGAUAGAUGCCCUCAGUUUACUUCACAUUUCUGGAGAGCCUUACAAAGUGAGUUAGGGACCCGUGUAGAGCACAUCACAGCGUUUCAUCCACAGAUUGACGGGCAGUUGGAACGGAUAGUUCAGAUCUUGGAGGACAUGCUCAGAGCAUGUGUGAUUGACUUUGGAGGGCUGUGGGAUCGAUUCUUACCUUUGGCCGAGUUUGCUUAAAAUAAUAAUUAUCAGUCCAGCAUCGAGAUGGCUCCAUUUGAGGCAUUAUAUGGUCAGCGAUGUUUUUCUCCCAUCGAGUGGUUUGAGCCCGGCGAGGCUAAGUUAUAUGGUACUGAUUUGGUGAAGGAUGCCUUGGAAAAGGUAAAGUUGAUUUAGGAGCAACUUGGCACAGCACAAUCCAGACAUAAGAGUUACGCGAAUCAGAAGGCGCUUGACUUGUCAUUUAUGGAGGGCGAGAAGGUUCCCUUGAAAGUCUCACCGAUGAAGGGGAUCAUGAGAUUCGGGAAGAAGGGAAAGUUGAGCCCAAGGUUUAUAGACCCAUUUGAGGUGUUGAGACGAGUUGGGAAAGUUGCUUUACCUCUCAGCCUAUCAGGAGUUCAUCCGAUUUUUCAUGUGUCUAUGCUCCGGAGGUAUCACGCCGAAUUGUCACAUGUGUUAGACUUCAGCACUGUUUAGUUAGAUGAGAACCUGGCUAUAAGGAGGAGCGAGUUGCCAUUGUUUCUAGAUAGGAUUGCAAGCUGAGAUCCAAGAGGAUUUCGGCGGUAAAGGUUCAGUAGAGGGGACAAUCAGUCGAGGGGGCAAUCUGGGAGUCUGAGGAGGACAUGCAGAGCAAAUAUCCACACUUAUUCAGCACUCUAGGUAUGAAUCUAAACCCGUUCAAGGACGAACGUUUGUUUAAGAGGUGGAGAAUGUAACGACUCGACUAGUCGUUUUGCUUUCUAGAACCCUGUUCCCCUAAAUAAGACUUCACUUACGUGCUUCUACUAUUUUAUAACUUGCAAAGAUGGUUAGUUCGGGAUUUGGAAGGGUUUGGGUUGAAAUCGGAAUACUUGGAUCCUAAAGGUUGGCUAAAAAGGUCAAGUUUGACUUCGGUCAACGUUUUGAGCAAACGACCUCGGAAUAGGGAUUUGUCGGUUCCAAUAGGCUCGUAUGAUAAUUUUGGACUUGGGCUUAUGUUCGAAUUGGGUUUCGAAUGACCUGGGAGCAUUUUGGCGCUUAAUAGUAAAAGUUGGUUCUUUGAAGAUUUUGGAAGUUUUUUAAAUUUGGUUUGGAGCGGAUUUUGGUGAAUUCGAGGUCCAAAUGGAAUUCCGAGACCAAGAAUAGUUCUGUAAUGUCAUUUAAGACUUGCACACAAUAUUUGAUGUCAUUCCGAGUAGUUUAAGUAUGUUUCGGCACAUUGGAAGUAAAUUGAAGAACUUGAAGUUCAUAAGUUUGAAUCAAUUGGUUUUGGGGUGUGAUUCUUAGUUUUGAUGUUGUUUUAGGCGUUCCGAGAGUUCGAACAAGUCCGUUUUAUGAUUCCAAACUUGUUGGUAUGUUCGAGCGGGGCCCCGGGGGGCCCUAGUAUCAAUUAGACGAGGCUCGGAUCAAGUUGGAAACUUGGAGAAACAGUUGAAGCUCCAGCUGCUGUCAUAAUCGCACCUGCGCUUGGCCAGCCGCAAGUGCAAGCUCGCAGAAGCGAGCCAUGCCUCGUAGAAGCGGCCAAGGAUCCACAGGUGCACCACAACCUCUGCAGAAGCGGGAGCUAGCCUACCUGGGGACUUCCACAGAAGCGGACUUUUGUCCGCAGAAGCGAUGGCGCAGGUGCGGCCCUGAGACCGCAGGUGCGGAAUCGCUGGAGGUAGUGAGCCUGUUUUAAAUACGGGACUUAGGCAUUUUUCUCCCAUUUUUCACUUACUUGGGAAAUUUUAGAGCUUCAAAAAGGGAGAUUUCAACCUAGCUAUUUAGGGUAAGUAAUUCCUACCUAAUGUGAGUUUAAUACAUAGAUUAUGGGUAUAUUUUAACAUGUAAAUUUGUAGAAUUCAUGGGUUAGAUGGAAAAUCUAGAUUUUUGAUAAAAAUGAGAUUUAACUACGAUAUUUGUUAUGGAAUUUGGUAAAAAUCAUAUAUUUGAGAUCAUGAGGUUAUGGGUAACAACUUUCUUCAAAAAUUUCGGAAUUCGGGCACGUGUGCCCGGGGUGAAUUUUAGGAACCUUACAUUUAGUGUUGGGUAAUCACUUAAAUAGUUAGGAUAUGAAAUUUUGAACAUAUAUUGAUUAGUUUAUACACUAUUUGAAUAGUUUUUUAUCGUUCGACAUCGAUUUGAAGGCUUGAGCAUAAUCUUGGACCAAAAAGUAGGCCUUGAAACGAGGUAAGUCUCUUUUCUAACCUUGUAUGAGGGAAUUAACCCCAUAGGUGAAUUAUAACUAAUAUGUGCUCCUAUGUGUGGGGGCUACGUAUGCACGAGAUAACAAGAGUCUGUAUGUAGCUACUAAUUAUGCUAUUUCCGGGUAGUCUAAGACUCAUACCAUGAUAUACUUGAAAUGUUUGCACCCCUACUUGUUGAUUUAAUUGAUUAAGUCAUAUAGGAAGUUGAUAAAAGAAUUAUAAAAGGUAAAAUUUCACUUACUUGAAGUUGUGAAUGGAACACUUGACUAUAAAUGAGAAUUUGUGUCUUAUUUGAAAUGUUUUCUAUUUGUGGAACGGGCCGAACGCCUCGAUAGCAAAUAGAUGCAUCUAUGGUUCGUGACGUUCGACCCUCGGCAGUGCAUAGUUUAAAUAUUAUGUUGGAUCGGGCUGUACAACCUCGACAUAAUUUGCGCAUGAUAAUUUUUGGAAAUAUUCAAAAUUGAUAUUGCUUAAAUGCCUUAAGAUACAAACUUUUAAGUGAUGAAACUAAACUUGGGAGUUAAUACUUGCGAAAUAAGAAUUUACUAUUUUCCUAUUAAUGAGCUUUCAUUAUUAUUCAUGAAAUCCAUGCUUAGUAUAAAAUUUUGAUAUAUCGUUGUUAGCCCAUAGUAAGUGUCAUAGUCGACCCCUCGUUACCACUUCUUCGAUGUUAGACUAGAUACUUACUGGGUACAUGUUGUUUAUGUACUAAUACUACACUUUUGCACUUAAUUGUGCAAGAUCGGAGGCAGGUACAUCUAGUUACCAGUCCAACGCGCAUAUUUGAUCCCCGCUACAAGACUAUGCGAUGAGUUGCCCUUCCAAGCCGUUCUGUAGUAGCCAGAGUCAUUCUUUUGUUUAUUUGUUCUGUCUAUUCCAUUUCAGACAGUAGAUUAGAAAUCUUUGUAUAUUCUACUAGUAGCCCAUAUACCUGUGACAUUGGGUCUUGGCACACACUAGUAGACUCAUGAUUUUGGGUUGUAUUUCUACGGUUAUGAUUUCAUUUAAUUGCUUUCGUUUUGAUCACUUUAUAAUCCGUUAUUUAUUAAAUUCUUUAAUUAAGAAAAGUUAGUAGUUUGAAAAACUUAAAAAAUAAAGAAAGAUGGAAAUCACUAGAUUGUUCACUGUUGGCUUGCCUAGCAACGUUGUUGGACGCCACCACGGCCUAAACUAGAAUUUUGUUGUGACACCUACCUUAAAGAUAAUAUACACACACGGUCAAAGGGAGAGGAAGACAGUUGCUUCUUAUCUUCUUCUUCCUCGCAAAAACAACCAUUCACCUCCAUUAAAGAGACCUAGAACCAGCAGCCCCACCUCCUCUGAACCCUAGAGGACAAAAUCACCUUAGAGACAAGGCAAGGGAAGGCCGCUGCGAAUCUUCUUCCUCGCAAAGAGCUUCAGCUGCACCUCCUAACACCCACGGCCAAAAUUCCCUUUCCUUCUCCAACACCUACAUCCAGAACCCCCCCCCCCCCAAACACGAGCGACUCACCCCAUCUCCCUCAUCCCUUUUCCUCGCCACCGUAGCUAUAUGACGAAGUUGCCGGAGGUGACUGACCUCCAUUGAUGCCGGCCAUCACCUCGCUGCCUCACUUCCCCUCUCUCAUCUCCUUGAAUCUUUUGAAUUUGGUACGUUCAUGGAGUAAGUACUAGAUUUGGCCGGAUUAGUUGGUUUUUUGCCGAGAAAUAACAUUUUCGGUAGCCAUAUAUCAUUGUUAUUCAUUUUGGCCGGAGUCACAUCCUUCGCCGGUGACUUUAAUGCCUUUCUGGCAGCUCUGCACUUCGCCACUAUUUGUGACCAUAUUCUUUUGGCGAAAACUUGUCGAGCAGCAAAACUUUGUCGAAGAUCCGGUGAAGCUUCAAUGUCGAGGUUCUAGAGAUCAACGACAUUGGUUUCGCAUUCCAUUCACUUCAUGGACGAUUUGUCGUAAAACUUCCCUUAUCAAUAUAUUGGAAGAUAUUGAGGUUCAUUUUUAACCUUAUCUUUUUUAUGAUUUCAAAAAGUCUAUAGUAUUUGUUCUAAUCAUACGUUAAUGGUUUUGGUUUGAACACAAAGGAUCUUAAAUAGCUCACCUUUCUUUAUUUUAUCUGUGUCGUUUGGUUGCCUAAAACGUUAGAGGUUGGUUGUUUGCGUGACAUGACUUUUGCA
rnacentral:lncRNA from 1 species